rnacentral:rRNA from 1 species
AUUGAACGCUGGCGGAAUGCUUUACACAUGCAAGUCGAACGGCAGCACGGACUUCGGUCUGGUGGCGAGUGGCGAACGGGUGAGUAAUACAUCGGAACGUGCCCAAUCGUGGGGGAUAACGUAGCGAAAGCUACGCUAAUACCGCAUACGAUCUAAGGAUGAAAGCGGGGGAUCGCAAGACCUCGCGCGAAUGGAGCGGCCGAUGGCAGAUCAGGUAGUUGGUAGGGUAAAGGCCUACCAAGCCGACGAUCUGUAGCUGGUCUGAGAGGAUGAUCAGCCACACUGGGACUGAGACACGGCCCAGACUCCUACGGGAGGCAGCAGUGGGGAAUUUUGGACAAUGGACGCAAGUCUGAUCCAGCCAUUCCGCGUGCAGGAUGAAGGCCCUCGGGUUGUAAACUGCUUUUGUACAGAACGAAAAGGCUCUGGUUAAUACCUGGGGCUCAUGACGGUACUGUAAGAAUAAGCACCGGCUAACUACGUGCCAGCCGCCGCCGUAACAC